rnacentral:rRNA from 1 species
AAGGUUGACCUCGGAUCAGGUAGGAAUACCCGCUGAACUUAAGCAUAUCAAUAAGCGGAGGAAAAGAAACCAACAGGGAUUGCCCUAGUAACGGCGAGUGAAGCGGCAACAGCUCAAAUUUGAAAUCUGGCUUCGGCCCGAGUUGUAAUUUGUAGAGGAAGCUUCUGGCGCGGUGCCGUCCGAGUCCCCUGGAACGGGGCGCCAUAGAGGGUGAGAGCCCCGUAUGGACGGAUGCUAAGCCUGUGUGAAGCUCCUUCGACGAGUCGAGUAGUUUGGGAAUGCUGCUCAAAAUGGGAGGUAAAUUCCUUCUAAAGCUAAAUAUUGGCCAGAGACCGAUAGCGCACAAGUAGAGUGAUCGAAAGAUGAAAAGCACUUUGAAAAGAGGGUUAAACAGCACGUGAAAUUGUUGAAAGGGAAGCGCUUGUGACCAGACUUGCGCCAGGUUGAUCAUCCGGUGUUCUCACCGGUGCACUCUGCCUGGCACAGGCCAGCAUCAGUUUUGGCGGGGGGAUAAAGGGCGCUUGAACGUAGCUCCUCCGGGAGUGUUAUAGCGUGCGUCGUAAUACCCUCGCCGGGACUGAGGACCGCGCAUCUGCAAGGAUGCUGGCGUAAUGGUCACCAGCGACCCGUCUUGAAACACGGACCAAGGAGUCAAGGUUUUGCGCGAGUGUUUGGGUGUUAAACCCGCACGCGUAAUGAAAGUGAACGUAGGUGAGAGCUUCGGCGCAUCAUCGACCGAUCCUGAUGUAUUCGGAUGGAUUUGAGUAAGAGCGUUAAGCCUUGGACCCGAAAGAUGGUGAACUAUGCUUGGAUAGGGUGAAGCCAGAGGAAACUCUGGUGGAGGCUCGCAGCGGUUCUGACGUGCAAAUCGAUCGUCAAAUCUGAGCAUGGGGGCGAAAGACUAAUCGAACCAUCUAGUAGCUGGUUACCGCC